rnacentral:rRNA from 1 species
AGAGUUUGAUCCUGGCUCAGGACGAACGCUGGCGGCGUGCCUAAUACAUGCAAGUAGAACGCUGAAGAAAGGAGCUUGCUUCUUUUGGAUGAGUUGCGAACGGGUGAGUAACGCGUAGGUAACCUGCCUUGUAGCGGGGGAUAACUAUUGGAAACGAUAGCUAAUACCGCAUAACAGCUUUUGACACAUGUUAGAAGCUUGAAAGAUGCAAUUGCAUCACUACGAGAUGGACCUGCGUUGUAUUAGCUAGUAGGAAGGGUAACGGCCUACCUAGGCGACAAUACAUAGCCGACCUGAGAGGGUGAUCGGCCACACUGGGACUGAGACACGGCCCAGACUCCUACGGGAGGCAGCAGUAGGGGAAUCUUUCGGCGAUGGGGGCAACCCUGACCGAGCAACGCCCGCGUGAGUGGAAGAAGGUUUUUCGGAUCGUAAAGCUCUUGUUUGUAAGAAAAGAAAGUGAGGGAAAGUGGAAAGUUCACACAGUGACGGUAACUUCACCAGAAGGGGACGGCUAACUUCGUGCCCCCACCCCGCGGUAAUAACGUUUGCCCCGAAGCGUUGUCGGGAAUUUAUGGGGCGAAAAGCCGAGCGCAGGCGGGUUAAUAAAUUCUAAAAUUUAAGGGGGGGGGCAUUACCCUUGGUCCCCUUUGGAAACUGUUUAACUUGAGUGGCGGAAGGGGAAAAGGGAAAUUUCCUGGUGUAGAGGGGGAA